UGCCAGCAGCCGCGGUAAUACAGAGGGUGCAAGCGUUAAUCGGAAUUACUGGGCGUAAAGAGUACGUAGGCGGACAUUCAAGUCAGAUGUGAAAGCCCCGAGCUUAACUUGGGAAUUGCAUUUGAGACUGAAUGACUAGAGUUUGAUAGAGGAGUGUGGAAUUCCUAGUGUAGCAGUGAAAUGCGUAGAUAUUAGGAGGAACAUCAGUGGCGAAGGCGGCACUCUGGAUCAAUACUGACGCUGAGGUACGAAAGCGUGGGGAGCAAACAGGAUUAGAUA
rnacentral:rRNA from 1 species